CACGUAGGGGGCAAGCGUUGUCCGGAUUUAUUGGCGUAAAGAGCUCGUAGGCGGCUUAGUAAGUCGGGUGUGAAACCUCCAGGCUCAACCUGGAGACGCCACCCGAUACUGCUGUGGCUAGAGUCCGGUAGGGGAGCGUGGAAUUCCUGGUGUGAGCGGUGAAAUGCGCAGAUAUCAGGAGGAACACCAGUGGCGAAGGCGACUUCCUGGCCUGUUCUUGACGCUGAGGCGCGAAAGCUAGGGGAGCAAACGGG
rnacentral:rRNA from 1 species